rnacentral:lncRNA from 1 species
GUAUCGAUUUACCUAAAUGCGUGUAUUAAUAUAUUGGAUAACUAUAUUGUCGGGUGUGUGUCGACUAGCUAUAUACUAUAUAUUGGUGAACAGCAUAUUAUAGGAGCUAUAUAUCGAUUUAUUUGGAGGCAUAUAUUAGGUUGCUACUAUGUGUGUAUCAAAGAAACUUAUGGCAUGUAUCAGAAAGCCGAUAAGUAUGUAUCGCUUAAUAAAGAAGAAAAAAGAUGCACUGAAUUUUUUUAUUUAAUAGAAAAAAAAUUUUCUUUAUUUGACUUCUGGGUUUCCUCUUUAAGAUGCGCAUAAUAGAAAACGUGGAAAAAA